UUUGUUUUUAUAGUUUAAACAAAACAUUGGUCUUGUAAACCAAAAUUAAGAAAAUUCUUUAAAA
rnacentral:tRNA from 1 species